CCUACGGGAGGCAGCAGUGGGGGAUAUUGCACAAUGGGGGAAACCCUGAUGCAGCGACGCCGCGUGUGGGAAGACGGUCCUCUGGAUUGUAAACCACUGUCCCCAGGGACGAAGAUGACGGUACCUGGGGAGGAAGCUCCGGCUAACUACGUGCCAGCAGCCGCGGUACUACGUAGGGAGCGAGCGUUGUCCGGAAUUACUGGGUGUAAAGGGAGCGUAGGCGGGACUGCAAGUUGGGUGUCAAAUCUACCGGCUCAACCGGUAGCCGCACUCAAAACUGCAGUUCUUGAGUGAAGUAGAGGCAGGCGGAAUUCCUAGUGUAGCGGUGAAAUGCGUAGAUAUUAGGAGGAACACCAGUGGCGAAGGCGGCCUGCUGGGCUUUUACUGACGCUGAGGCUCGAAAGUGUGGGGAGCAAACAGGAGUAGAUACCCGGGUAGUC
rnacentral:rRNA from 1 species